rnacentral:lncRNA from 1 species
AAACAACCUCAAUUCUUUCCCAAUCCAGACUCCUAAAAUAAAAGUGAUCCAUAAACUACUUGGGCUCAAUGAACACUAACUCUUUCCUUUACAAAAAUGAAUACAUAUUGUAAAUCACGCGUCGCUGCUCAACUCCAGUUCAUUUAUCUUUAUUCCGAAAUAAAUACACUGACACCAAAGGGUAUGGGCAAGAAUAAGCUGAAAGAGCAAAAAGCAAUUGAAAACUUUGCAUAUCGAGGUUGUGACCAGCACAUGAAACUCUGAAACGGAAGAAGAGAAAUAAGUAAAAUAUUAAGUAUGAGAUCUUGAACUUCCAUUUGACAUCACCAAUGCAAUCAAGAAAAACAUGGGUCUCCCUUGUUCAUCAGAACUUUGUCACCAAGCAUUACUAUAAAU